AUUGGACGCUGGCGGCAGGCCUAACACAUGCAAGUCGAACGGUAACAGGAAGAAGCUUGCUUCUUUGCUGACGAGUGGCGGACGGGUGAGUAAUGUCUGGGAAACUGCCUGAUAGAGGGGGAUAACUACUGGAAACGGUAGCUAAUACCGCAUAACGUCGCAAGACCAAAGAGGGGGACCUUCGGGCCUCUUGCCAUCGGAUGUGCCCAGAUGGGAUUAGCUAGUAGGUGGGGUAACGGCUCACCUAGGCGACGAUCCCUAGCUGGUCUGAGAGGAUGACCAGCCACACUGGAACUGAGACACGGUCCAGACUCCUACGGGAGGCAGCAGUGGGGAAUAUUGCACAAUGGGCGCAAGCCUGAUGCAGCCAUGCCGCGUGUAUGAAGAAGGCCUUCGGGUUGUAAAGUACUUUCAGCGGGGAGGAAGGGAGUAAAGUUAAUACCUUUGCUCAUUGACGUUACCCGCAGAAGAAGCACCGGCUAACUCCGUG
rnacentral:rRNA from 1 species